rnacentral:rRNA from 1 species
GUCGAGAAUAAUUCACAAUGGGGGAAACCCUGAUGGUGCAACGCCGCGUGGAGGAUGAAGGUCUUCGGAUUGUAAACUCCUGUCAUCUGGGAGUAAGACCUGACGGUGAAUAGCCGGCAGGGUUGAUAGUACCAGAAGAGGAAGGGACGGCUAACUUCGUGCCAGCAGCCGCGGUAAUACGAAGGUCCCAAGCGUUGUUCGGAAUCACUGGGCGUAAAGGGAGCGUAGGCGGCGUGGUAAGUCAGAUGUGAAAUCCCGGGGCUCAACCCCGGAACUGCAUCCGAUACUGCCAUGCUUGAGGGUUGGAGAGGUAGCUGGAAUUCUCGGUGUAGCAGUGAAAUGCGUGGAUAUCGAGAGGAACACUCGUGGCGAAGGCGACUCACUGGCCCAAUACUGACGCUGAGGCGCGAAAGCGUGGGGAGCAAACAGGAUUAGAAACCCGGGUAGUCC